GGCACGAUGGCUGAGCGGUCUAAAGCGUGAGACUCGAAUAUUUCCAAAUAUCGUUUCAUCUUAUCUCUUCGGAGGCGCAGGUUCGAAUCCUGCUCGUGUCG